UACGUAGGCAGCAAGCGUUGUUCGGAAUUACUGGGCGUAAAGAGUGUGUAGGCGGUGCUCUAAGUUUGGUGUGAAAUCUCCCGGCUCAACUGGGAGGGUGCGCCGAAUACUGAAUGACUAGAGUGCGGGAGAGGAUAGUGGAAUUCCUGGUGUAGCGGUGAAAUGCGUAGAUAUCAGGAGGAACACCGGUGGUGUAGACGGCUAUCUGGACCGUAACUGACGCUGAGGCACGAAAGCGUGGGUAGCAAACAGG
rnacentral:rRNA from 1 species